rnacentral:rRNA from 1 species
GACGAACGUUGGCGGCGUGCUUAAUACAUGCAAGUCCACUGAAGCAGUGGUAGCAAUAUCGCUGUGGAGGUGGCGCACGGGUGGGUAACACGUAGGUAAUCUGCCUUCAGGUCUGGCAUAACUCCGGGAAACCGGGGCUAAUAGCAGAUGAUGCAGCGGCUCGACAUCGAGACAGUUGUUAAAGCUAUGGCGCCUGAAGAUGAGCCUGCGUCUGAUUAGCUAGUUGGCGGGGUAACGGCCCACCAAGGCAACGAUCAGUAGCUGGUCUGAGAGGAUGAUCAGCCACACUGGAACUGAGACACGGUCCAGACUCCUACGGGAGGCAGCAGUAAGGAAUAUUGCUCAAUGGGAGAAAUCCUGAAGCAGCAACGCCGCGUGAGGGACGAAGGGCUUUUGCUUGUAAACCUCUGUAGUGAGAGAAAAAAAUCCCAAUCUUUGGGACAUGAUGGUAUCCCAAAAGUAAGCCCCGGCUAACUACGUG